UUGCGGCCGUACUCCCCAGGCGGAGUGCUUAUUGUGUUAACUGCGGCACAGAAGGGGUCGAUACCCUCUACACCUAGCACUCAUCGUUUACGGCGUGGACUACCAGGGUAUCUAAUCCUGUUUGCUCCCCACGCUUUCGCGCCUCAGCGUCAGUUACAGUCCAGAAAGUCGCCUUCGCCACUGGUGUUCCUCCUAAUAUCUACGCAUUUCACCGCUACACUAGGAAUUCCACUUUCCUCUCCUGUCCUCAAGAUACCCAGUUUCCGAUGCACUCUCAGGGUUGAGCCCUGAUCUUUCACACCGGACUUAAAUAUCCGCCUACGCGCCCUUUACGCCCAAUAAUUCCGGACAACGCUUGCCCCCUACGUAUUACCGCGGCUGCUGGCACGUAGUUAGCCGGGGCUUCCUCCUUGGGUACCGUCAUAUUGUCUCAAUAUUUUCAAGACAAUCGUUCUUCCCCAAAGACAGUACUUUACAAUCCGAAGACCUUCAUCAUACACGCGGCGUUGCUCCGUCAGACUUUCGUCCAUUGCGGAAGAUUCCCCACUGCUGCCUCCCGUAGAGUCUGGGCCGUGUCUCAGUCCCAGUGUGGCCGUUUA
rnacentral:rRNA from 1 species